UUUCCCCGGUGGAUUUUUUGGGGGGGGGGGGGGGGGUCCUGUCAGCCCCCCCGCCAGUCGCUGCAGCAGGAAGUGAGCGUGUGGCUGGCACUCGCCAAGUCUGGGAGCACAGCUGGGCCCGCGGAUGUGGGCGGCGGGAACUCCGGCUGGUGGACACGGCUUGACGGCGUUGGAGCGUGUGGGGCAACAUCCUGGGACGUCAUGGAUGGACAGGCGUGUGACUCAGCGGUGCCUGCUCAGAGCACCUGCCCCUGGGACCUCCCUGCGCACAUACGAGGAGACCGGGUCUGUGGUUCCAUCCGGCCACUGAGAUGGCCCAGGGGACACCCCGUCUCAGGAUCCUGAAUCACACCUGCCAGUGCCGUUUUUCGUGAAGCACCUCGACGGGGCCAGGACCCUGCUCUGCACGUGACAGAUGGGGGAGCUAUUGCGCCCCGACUGACGCAACCACGUAAGUGGCUAGGAAGCCACGGAGCCGGGACUGGACCUUCGCUCAGCGCUGACAUCAAAGCCCAUCCUCUUCCUGCUGCGUCCGCUGUCCGGGUCCCCCUGGGGCUGCCCCUUGGCCCCCGAGUUCUCCGCUUCCCGUAAUCCUGGUGCCCGGAGAUCGGAGACGCCCCCUUUUCUGACGCCCCCCCCAGCAUGUCUGCUGCAGCCGUGAGCUCAUUGCCUCCCCAGGCAGCGGCUCAGCAAGGCUCGUGGGCCGGUCUUCCCCGUGCAGAGCUAAGACCUCACUGAGCCGCCUCCCCCACCGUGCCCUGGGAUGUCUGAGUCCAUGUGCAUUGCCCCGAAAUAUAUGAAA